rnacentral:tRNA from 1 species
GCAGGCGUAGCCAAGUGGUUAAGGCACCGGAUUGUGGUUCCGGCAUACGGGGGUUCAACUCCCCUCGCUUGCCCCA